GAAAGUUCCGGCGGUACAGGAUGAGUCUGCAUCUGAUUAGCUAGUUGGUGGUGUAAUGGACUACCAAGGCGACGAUCAGUAGCUGGUUUGAGAGGAUGAUCAGCCACAAUGGGACUGAGACACGGCCCAUACUCCUACGGGAGGCAGCAGUAGGGAAUUUUGCGCAAUGGGCGAAAGCCUGACGCAGCAACGCCGCGUGAUCGAGACGCCCUUCGGGGUGUAAAGAUCUGUCAGUGGGGACGAAACUUGACGGUACCCACAGAGGAAGCACCGGCUAACUCCGUGCCAGCAGCCGCGGUAAUACGGGGGGUGCAAGCGUUGUCCGGAAUCAUUGGGCGUAAAGAGUUCGUAGGCGGCACGUAAAGUCUGGUGUUAAAGGCAGAGGCUCAACUUCUGUACGGCACUGGAUACUUGCGAGCUAGAAUGCGGUAGAGGUAAAGGGAAUUCCUGGUGUAGCGGUGAAAUGCUUAGAUAUCAGGAGGAACAUCGGUGGCGUAAGCGCUUUACUGGGCCGUAAUUGACGCUGAGGAACGAAAGCCAGGGUAGCAAAUGGGAUUAGAUACCCUAGUAGUCCUGGCCGUAAACGAUGGAUACUAGGUGUUGCGGG
rnacentral:rRNA from 1 species